rnacentral:rRNA from 1 species
ACGAACGCUGGCGGCGUGCUUCACACAUGCAAGUCGAACGGAAAGGCCCUGCUUUUGUGGGGUGCUCGAGUGGCGAACGGGUGAGUAACACGUGAGUAACCUGCCCUUGACUUUGGGAUAACUUCAGGAAACUGGGGCUAAUACCGGAUAGGAGCUCCUGCUGCAUGGUGGGGGUUGGAAAGUUUCGGCGGUUGGGGAUGGACUCGCGGCUUAUCAGCUUGUUGGUGGGGUAGUGGCUUACCAAGGCUUUGACGGGUAGCCGGCCUGAGAGGGUGACCGGCCGCAUUGGGACUGAGAUACGGCCCAGACUCCUACGGGAGGCAGCAGUGGGGAAUAUUGCACAAUGGGCGGAAGCCUGAUGCAGCAACGCCGCGUGCGGGAUGACGGCCUUCGGGUUGUAAACCGCUUUCGCCUGUGACGAAGCGUGAGUGACGGUAAUGGGUAAAGAAGCACCGGCUAACUACGUG